AUGGUAUUUAGUUUAAAACAAAACAAAUGAUUUCGACUCAUUAAAUUAUGAAUCAACCCGUAAAUACCAA
rnacentral:tRNA from 1 species